rnacentral:tRNA from 1 species
GGGGAUUUGGCUCAGUGGUAGAGCACUUGCCUCGCAACCGCAAGGCCCUGGGUUCGAUCCCCAGCUCCG